GCAUUCUUAUUUAAUUUCCUUUCAUUACAGGUUAGCGGAAAAUUCGUUGAAGAUACAGAACUGAGGAGAAAUAUGCAAUUUAAGGACAUGUUUUGCAGGAUGUUGGUGUGGCAUCUGCUCCACGCAAUUGCUCUUUAUUUAUGCAAUGGCGUCAGGAGAUGGAGACGGCAUCAUAAAAUUGUCGGUUUUUUGUAUCUAUAAUCGCAAAAGUUGGCGAUUUUGUUUUGCUAUAGUGAGGCCCGUCUCCUGAUUUACGUGCGCAUCAUCGGCAGGAUGAGGGCGAAUUUUUGUAUCUGCUGGAUUGCCUGUCAGGUUUGCAAUUUUCUGUGUCUUUGAUUAAUUUAGUAUUAUAUUUUUAUUAAUUUUCCUUUCUUUAUAGGUUGUCGGGAAGUCAUUGAGAAAACGGUACUGCGGAGAUUUAUACAAUUUGGAGACGGAUUUUAAUUCAUUUUAAUAUGGUGUUAGUUCCGGGAUAGUGAUCCUUGUGAGUGCAGUGGCAUCAGGAGAUGGAGACGGCGUUGUAAGGUUGUCAGUUUUUUGUGUUUAUAAUCGCGAAGGGUGGCGAUUUUGUUUUUCUUUUGCGGAGCCGGUCUUCUCUUGAUGGUUGUGUUGGAUCACCAGUUGGCUCUGGUUAUUGAGGUUUUAGCGUCAACUAAUGUAGGCGCUCGUCGAUCUGGAAGAUUAUCUGAGUAGCAGGAAGGAUAGUUUUUGCUGCUCCGCGCAAGGUGCCCUGAUCGGAGCAUAGGCAGCUUAUAUGGCCCGUCAAUUGCAGCGCAGCACUGCAAGUAGAUUGUAUCGGUGAUAAGGGAUACUACCAGGGACUGUGUGGCAAAGAAAGUUCAGGUAAGUGACGUUGUGCAUAAAUUGCUGCAGCGAGUCGCCUUUUAUUCAUCAUGUUUCUGCCACACUAAUCCUUUUCAUAUCGAUCUACCGAUUCAUCCUUUAUGUCCUAGUUGGUUUUCUCCGCAUCGUUUCGUCAGGAUCAGCUGGAGUGCGUUGUCUUAGGAUUGCUCAUCCGGAUGCGUUGAGAUAAAUUAGGCUGCGUCGAGAAGGGUGGUGACAGUGGAGGAGGUUUAUAAGCAGACAGACGUGCGCUUUUCCAUCGGAUAAAGAUAUCGUUUAUUUAGAUGUAAGAGGAUAUAGAUUUAAUUUGAUGUGUCCAUGUCAAGAUUAUUGUUUCUUAUUUGUAAGAUUAAGGCCAUUAAAAUGUCAAUUUUCUUUUCUAA